GGCACUGGCCUCCUAAGCCAGGGAUUGUGGGUUCGAGUCCCAUCUGGGCUUUGCUGAGGUGUCACUGAUGCACAAUAAAAUGCGAUGUGGAAAGAGGACCAUUUGCUAAGCGUCCAUCAGGAAACCAUCCACCACCAUCAAAAUGGCCAACAAAUGUAUCAGCCCCUCCAGGAGACUAUCAGGCAUGUAAUUCCAUAUCCAGUGGCAAGAAGCUCUCCCAGAAAGGCACUGACCUGGAGGUAAGGGUCUCAUUCCAGGA